GGGGGGGGGCUGGCUGUCAGGGAGGCCGCCCCGUCCUGGGGGGCACCUCAGGGCAGGUACUGACUUCCAUAGCCAGGACCUAGGCCGGGAAUCGGGAAGGGAUGGCCCCGGAAGUGAUAAGGCAGGAUUUCCAGGCAGGGGAAGUGGCAUUUAGGAGAACUGGCUAUUUAAGGGGGCGGUCAGUGCUGACACAGACAAAGCAUUCACUGGCUGGGAAUGGCCGCCACCCAGUGGCUCUGAGAACUAGACUUGGAAGUCUGGCACUGGGAGCUGUGCCAACUUGGACCAAACUUUGGGCGCAAAGCACGACGUGGCAGACGAGGAACCACACUAGAACGGGCCACGCCUACCCAAGAUUUACGAGGCCGUCCUUUCCCUCAUGCAAUCGCAAUGGGAAAAGGAGGAAACUAAGGCUCGGCCUCCCCUACUGAGCCUGGUUGGCGGAGGGGAGUCUUAAAGCCGCCGCCAUCUGGAGAACCAGCUUUACAAGGACCCUCACUCACUACUCUUCGGCGGCCCCAAAGCCUCUGGGGGGCCCUCUAUGGCCACCACUUGCUCCUCGCCCAGGAGUCAUCUCAUGCCGCCGCCUCCCCCAGCCCUGGUGGAAGAAGCCAGCGCGGACCCCUGCCUCUCUGCCCCAGAAAGUCUUCGGAGGGAUGACCCUCUGCUGACAAGCUGGGGGAAGUUGGCGUACAGAGACCCCCGCUUUGCUGCUCAUCCCAGGGAAAUCCCGGCCCCACUCCUGACCUCAGACUCACUUCCACCCUCAAGUGGAUCGAGGUGGGGGUAGCCAGGGGCGCUGUCUCCAGUGACAAGGUCUCUGGGACCCCUCAUGGGCUCAAGACCCCCUCCCCCAGGCAGCAGCUGUGUGAUUCAUCACCACCCCCUCUGCACCUCGGGCCCCCCCACUACAGCCGCCCCACUCCCCGUCAGCGGCAGCCGGCUGCUGCGUCAGCCACUCACGCAGGGUGGUUAUUAAAGGAGAGAGACAUCA
rnacentral:lncRNA from 1 species